UGCACACAGACUGGAUGCAGGCUAUACGCCACUUCAAAGCAGCAGUUGAAGAGAAAACCACAGACAACACUUCCCACUGAAGUCAGCCAAGCUGUAUACGAGUAAAAGCAGCAAUCAUGGUUAUGGGAUCCUCAAUCGAUGGAAUAAGACAACCUUACUGCAUCAAUUAAACGCCAGGUCAUUUUGUUUGGGGGAAUCUGUUGGCUUCUCCUAAGUGGCUUCUGAGGAUUUCGCACCACUUCUCAUGGGAGAGGAUUUAUUUCCACCCCCUGGCCUUCAAGAGCAGACAAUUAUCUCCUAUGAAAUAAAAUCUAGAGAGUAUGGUACACAAUAAUCCCAGCAAUUUUCAUUGAUCAGAAGAAACUGGGGGAAAAAAAAUAAAGUUGCCA